UACGAAGGGGGGCUAGCGUUGCUCGGAAUCACUGGGCGUAAAGGGUGCGUAGGCGGGUCUUUUAAGUCAGGGGUGAAAUCCUGGAGCUCAACUCCAGAACUGCCUUGAUACUGAAGAUCUUGAGUUCGGGAGAGGUGAGUGGAACUGCGAGUGUAGAGGUGAAAUUCGUAGAUAUUCGCAAGAACACCAGUGGCGAAGGCGGACUCACUGGCCCGGUA
rnacentral:rRNA from 1 species